CUUGCAGUGAUGAGCAGCUAACAUGUAAGAAAGACCACUUUGUGUGGUUUCUUCAAUGAAAUAUCGUUACGCUUGGCUUCUGAGCACU